rnacentral:rRNA from 1 species
UGAGUUUGAUCCUGGUUCAGGACGAACGCUGGCGGCGUGCCUAAUACAUGCAAGUCGAGCGAGCUUGCCUAGAUGAUUUUAGUGCUUGCACUAAAUGAAACUAGAUACAAGCGAGCGGCGGACGGGUGAGUAACACGUGGGUAACCUGCCCAAGAGACUGGGAUAACACCUGGAAACAGAUGCUAAUACCGGAUAACAACACUAGACGCAUGUCUAGAGUUUGAAAGAUGGUUCUGCUAUCACUCUUGGAUGGACCUGCGGUGCAUUAGCUAGUUGGUAAGGUAACGGCUUACCAAGGCAAUGAUGCAUAGCCGAGUUGAGAGACUGAUCGGCCACAUUGGGACUGAGACACGGCCCAAACUCCUACGGGAGGCAGCAGUAGGGAAUCUUCCACAAUGGACGAAAGUCUGAUGGAGCAACGCCGCGUGAGUGAAGAAGGGUUUCGGCUCGUAAAGCUCUGUUGGUAGUGAAGAAAGAUAGAGGUAGUAACUGGCCUUUAUUUGACGGUAAUUACUUAGAAAGUCACGGCUAACUACGUGCCAGCAGCCGCGGUAAUACGUAGGUGGCAAGCGUUGUCCGGAUUUAUUGGGCGUAAAGCGAGUGCAGGCGGUUCAAUAAGUCUGAUGUGAAAGCCUUCGGCUCAACCGGAGAAUUGCAUCAGAAACUGUUGAACUUGAGUGCAGAAGAGGAGAGUGGAACUCCAUGUGUAGCGGUGGAAUGCGUAGAUAUAUGGAAGAACACCAGUGGCGAAGGCGGCUCUCUGGUCUGCAACUGACGCUGAGGCUCGAAAGCAUGGGUAGCGAACAGGAUUAGAUACCCUGGUAGUCCAUGCCGUAAACGAUGAGUGCUAAGUGUUGGGAGGUUUCCGCCUCUCAGUGCUGCAGCUAACGCAUUAAGCACUCCGCCUGGGGAGUACGACCGCAAGGUUGAAACUCAAAGGAAUUGACGGGGGCCCGCACAAGCGGUGGAGCAUGUGGUUUAAUUCGAAGCAACGCGAAGAACCUUACCAGGUCUUGACAUCCAGUGCAAACCUAAGAGAUUAGGUGUUCCCUUCGGGGACGCUGAGACAGGUGGUGCAUGGCUGUCGUCAGCUCGUGUCGUGAGAUGUUGGGUUAAGUCCCGCAACGAGCGCAACCC